CUCCGCUUCGGCAACUUAAGGAGGAUCUUCUCCCGAGGAUUCCUCAAUUGAGUGACAACAGGCAUGCGAUGAUGCCACGGAAUAAUUGUCAGCAAUUGUUACGAUAAGAGAUACGAAAGACGAACAUAGGGAGAGAAUGAAGAAGUGUCGUCGACGAAUGACUAUUCUAUUCGCGAGACGGAAAAUGGCUCCUUCUCCGUCUCGCCUUCCUCCCUGUCCCUCAUCGUGCGCGAGGGAGUUCUCUGUGGAACAUUCAAUGUAGGCCAGGGGAGCAAGCAUUUACCGUCGAACUAAGCACUUCCCAUCGUCGUACCCGCCGCCCAUUGUCCUGUCAUUAUCUCGAAUAAUUAGUGAUUAGUACUCCAGUGACACAGUAAUUGCCGCACAAGAGCAAAGACUACGAAGUGUACAGGAUACGGGGAGAAGGUUACAUUCUAUGCUUAUAAUGGUUCUGUUCAAUUUAUUACUAUCGUCAUCCAAGGUCUCGUUCGAUGCUAAUUUCGAUAACGAGUCCGUGAACAUGCGUACGCAUGGAUAAUGCAGAAGAAUACCUGUGAGCAGACCCGGGCGAAUUUUACUUCCGCAACUGACGAACCAAAAAUAAAAUUGGACUCGAAGAUUUUCAAAUAGCCAAACCUGCAAAAGUAGAUCGUGCUCAAGGUUUGCUGUAAAUUUAGUCGACAAUUCGCUAACAGAAACGCACGGGAUCCGCUAACAGAAUACAGAUGACAAAUUGAUCAUAAAUACCGAACAGAAUCUGUCGUUUCGUAGUCAUUUCGGUGGAUUUAAAUGGAAUGUACCGCAGAUUCUUUUCGGCUUUUGCCGCCGAUUUGCUGUCGAAUUGUGUCAGCAAACUCCGUCGAGAGAACAUGAACUUAGUGGAUAUUACAGAUCUGUUACGAUAUUCAGAUUGAAUCUAUUGGCAAUCUGCUGGCAUACCGCUAACAUUUUACUUAUUGGAUUGAUUCGGAAACAAUGAAUAAAUUCUUGCGAUCGCUUGCGUCAGACUUCAUCCGGAUAGUAGCGAAUUUUGUCGACGUGGAGACACUAAA